UAGGGGAUAUUGGUCAAUGGGCGGAAGCCUGAACCAGCCAUGCCGCGUGCAGGAAGACGGCCUUCUGGGUUGUAAACUGCUUUUACCAGGGAACAAAUAGGCCAUGCGUGGCAAGUUGAGUGUACCUGGGGAAUAAGCACCGGCUAACUCCGUGCCAGCAGCCGCGGUAAUACGGAGGAUGCAAGCGUUAUCCGGAAUGAUUGGGCGUAAAGCGUCCGCAGGUGGUAGUGCAAGUCUACUGUUAAAGAGUGAAGCUUAACUUCAUAAAGGCCGUGGAAACUGCAUAACUAGAGUGCGUUCGGGGCAGAGGGAAUUCCUGGUGUAGCGGUGAAAUGCGUAGAUAUCAGGAAGAACACCGGUGGCGAAAGCGCUCUGCUAGGCCGCAACUGACACUGAGGGACGAAAGCUAAGGGAGCGAAUGGGAUUAGAUACCCCCGUAGUCC
rnacentral:rRNA from 1 species